rnacentral:miRNA from 1 species
ACUGCCAACGUCAUUUCCUGUU